UAGUUGGUCGUGAGGCUGACGAACGUUGAGUUGGGCUGAGCAAGGCUUUUGUCUCUAUUCGAAACUUGACCUCAAAUCAGGUAGGACUACCCGCUGAACUUAAGCAUAUCA
rnacentral:rRNA from 1 species